GUUUUCCCUGGCUCACCGACUAGAACCACCCCGAUUGUUUUCCCGGGAUCACAAUCGAACCCUUACACGUUGGUUUUACACUCGGCUCACCAACCAACCUCUACACCGUUGGUUUUCCCUUUGGCUCACCAACAAACCUUAACCCCUUGAUUCAAUUCCUUGAUUGAAUCAAGUUACAAGAUAUUAAAAAACAAAGUUUAAAACAAAUCAAAGCUUCUUAAACAAGCAAAUAUAACAAUAUAAACAAAUAGAGUAAAGAGAAGCCCUC
rnacentral:lncRNA from 1 species